GCCGGCGUAGCUUCAAUUGGUAGAGCAUCGCAUUCGUAAUGCGAGGGUUGCGGGUUCGAGUCCCACCGCCGGCU
rnacentral:tRNA from 1 species